CUCAGUUCGGAUUGUAGUCUGCAACUCGACUACAUGAAGCUGGAAUCGCUAGUAAUCGCGAAUCAGAAUGUCGCGGUGAAUACGUUCCCGGGUCUUGUACACACCGCCCGUCACACCACGGAAGUUGGGGGCGCCCGAAGCCACUUAGCUAACCCUUUUGGGAAGCGAGUGUCGAAGGUGAAAUCAAUAACUGGGGUGAAGUCGUAACAAGGUAGC
rnacentral:rRNA from 1 species